CACGUGUAUUUGUCGGAUGUCGUUCAUUUCAUUUUUAAACUCGCGAUGUGAGAAAUAACGCAGACCUAAUGGAUAAAUUGAACUUCAAGCGUGCAUUGUGCGCGUGAGACGCCUCCGGCCACAUGUGACGUCGUUGAGACACCUCGGGGCACGCGAGGUUACUGAGACACCUCGAGACACGCGAGGUUUCUGAGACACUUCGGGACACAUGUGAGCCCUUUUGGGGACACAGAGAAGGUCUUGGAAGCCUGGUUGAGGUUAGGUUUUCCUACCCGUGGACGCGAAGCGGCUGAGCACGUGCAUAAGACCAUCCAAGAUUGACCGACUUAAAUAUUUGCUGAUCCAAAGAAGAUUCUUCAACCCAGAAAAAUUAUUAGAAAAAUAAAGCUUAUAUAAAUGGAAAUUUA